AGGCCUACCAAGCCGACGAUCAGUGAAACCGCCUGAGAGGGUGACCGGCCACAUUGGGACUGAGACACGGCCCAAACUCCUACGGGAGGCAGCAGUGGGGAAUAUUGCACAAUGGGGGAAACCCUGAUGCAGCGACGCCGCGUGAAGGAAGAAGUAUUUCGGUAUGUAAACUUCUAUCAGCAGGGAAGAAGAUGACGGUACCUGAGUAAGAAGCACCGGCUAAAUAC
rnacentral:rRNA from 1 species